GACGAACGCUGGCGGCGUGCUUAACACAUGCAAGUGGAGCGACGAACCAGGGCUUGCCCUGGGGCAAAGCCGCGAACGGGUGAGUAACACGUGGGUAACCCACCCCGAUGAUCGGGACAACCCGGGGAAACUCGGGCUAAUACCGAAUGUGCUUCAGGUUCAUGAGGACCUGAAGCAAAGAUAGCUUCGGCCUUCGCAUCGGGACGGGCCCGCGGCCCAUUAGCUUGUUGGUGAGGUAACGGCUCACCAAGGCGACGAUGGGUAGCUGGUCUGAGAGGACGAUCAACCACACUGGGACUGAGACACGGCCCAGACUCCUACGGGAGGCAGCAGUGGGGAAUCUUGCACAAUGCGCGAAAGCGUGAUGCAGCAACGCCGCGUGGGGGAAGAAGGCCUUCGGGUUGUAAACCCCUUUCAGUUGGGACGAAGCUUCGCCGGUGAAUAGCCGGCUGGAGUGACGGUACCUUCACAAGAAGCCCCGGCUAACUACGUGCCAGCCGCCGCGGUAAAAC
rnacentral:rRNA from 1 species